ensembl:processed_transcript
GGUGACAAAUCUCAGGCAUUCAAAGGUUAGUUAGGUUAUUUUGGAUGGGGUUUGUUCACUAGGUUUGCUGUUUCUAUGAUGAAUCAAACUAGCUCACUAUGACUGCUAAUGAAAACACAGGAACACCUGAGAAACCAAAGGGUAGUGUGGGGGCAAGGGCGCUUAUAUCCAGCCUUUUCAAGGUUUGUUAUUUUUCUCCAGGUUCUGUUAGCAGUGCCAUACUUGGGUUUACAGAGAUGGUGUGUCUGACUGAGAGCAAAGGAGCCAUACCAGGAAAGUUGAAGCAUAUCUUCAUUUUCAAGUCCAGGCUAAAAUAAGGUGAGAAAACUUAGAUGAAAAGUAUGCUGAACUAUAAUUUCCCCAUGAAGAAAUGUUCAAACGUCCUACUUCCUGUCCUAGCUCCAGAGCCUGAAAAGGUGAACCCACUGGGGCUGGCUGGGGGAAAAGAGGAAACUUUGUUCCAGAAGGAACUGUCUGAGGGAUCAUUUUUGUGC